AUCAUCAAAACUUUGAACGCAUCUUGCGCUUCCGGGAUAUGCCUGGGAGCAUGCUUGUCGGAGUGUCUGUUGACACCCCUCACCCCCCCCGUCUUUUCGUGAAAGAGAAGUCGAGAGGGUGGACUCUGCGUGUUCCGGAGCGAGAGCUCCGAGUGCACCGAAUCUCGUGAACGCGAGACCUCUGCUACUGCUGAUUGCACAGAGUUGUUGACGGCGUGUCUGCUUCGGCGGCGCGACUCUCUACUCGCURCGUGCCUUCCAGUGUGUUGUUAUUGGUCGUAGUUCCGGUUGCGUGCGGUCAUCCCCGCACACUACCCCAACUUUCGUUCGGACCUCCGAU
rnacentral:rRNA from 1 species